GUUUAUUUACAUUUUAGACUACCUGAGAAUUACAUAGAAACGUAGUUUGACUUGUUUGGAUGAAGUUUAGGAGUAGCUUUUUGGAAUCCUUUGUCUGCAUGUUGAAUGAGUGGAUUACUGAAAUCGAUGGCACCAACUUAACAGACUUUUUGUAAUAUAAAGAAUGAUUUUAUCUAACAAAACAACCAUUCAUGUUGUAGCUGGGACCCUUGGGAUUGCAAACAGAGGAAGAUUUUCAAAAGACCUGAGCCCUAAGACCAUGCCUCAGGACUACCUGGCAUGAUGACUCCUUGCUGUCCCCAGUCCACCUGGCCGUGCUGCUGCUCCAGUUUCAACUGUUCUGCCUGCGGCUAUGGAACCCUGACGUUGUUCACCGGAUGUGCUACCUGUCCCAGACCUGCGGUUUUCAACUCUCUAGAGACAGCAGGAAUGGUAGAGAUACUCUUGAUGAUCGGCUAUGAAAAGCCAACUGACAUUUACUCCUGAGGUGCUGACUUGCUGCACCCUCGACAACUACUUUGAUGAUUAUUAUUUGACCAUGCUGGUCAUUUAUGAACAUUUGAACAUCUUGGCCAUGUUUUGUUAUAAUCUCCACCCGGCACAGCCAGAAGAGGACUGGCCACCCCUCAUAGCCUGG
ensembl:lncRNA